rnacentral:rRNA from 1 species
CUCCUACGGGAGGCAGCAGUCGGGAAUUUUGGGCAAUGGGCGAAAGCCUGACCCAGCAACGCCGCGUGAAGGAUGAAAUCCCUCGGGAUGUAAACUUCGCAAGAGUAGGAAGAAUAAAUAGGGUUAAUACCCCUAUCGAUGACGGUACUAUUUGUAAGCUCCGGCUAACUCCGUGCCAGCAGCCGCGGUAAUAC